rnacentral:rRNA from 1 species
AUAUGCCGAGAGGUGAAAUGAAUUUCGCCUGAGGAUGAGCCCGCGUCUGAUUAGCUAGUUGGUGAGGUAAGAGCUCACCAAGGCAUCGAUCAGUAGCUGGUCUGAGAGGAUGAUCAGCCACACUGGGACUGAGACACGGCCCAGACUCCUACGGGAGGCAGCAGUGGGGAAUUUUCCGCAAUGGGCGAAAGCCUGACGGAGCAACGCCGCGUGAGGGAUGAAGGCCUCUGGGCUGUAAACCUCUUUUAUCAAGGAAGAAGAUCUGACGGUACUUGAUGAAUAAGCCACGGCUAAUUCC